UACGUAGGGUGCAAGCGUUGUCCGGAAUUAUUGGGCGUAAAGAGCUCGUAGGCGGUUUGUCGCGUCUGCUGUGAAAACCCGAGGCUCAACCUCGGGCCUGCAGUGGGUACGGGCAGACUAGAGUGCGGUAGGGGAGAUUGGAAUUCCUGGUGUAGCGGUGGAAUGCGCAGAUAUCGGGAGGAACACCGGUGGCGAAGGCGGGUCUCUGGGCAACAACUGACGCUGAGGAGCGAAAGCGUGGGGAGCGAACAGG
rnacentral:rRNA from 1 species